rnacentral:lncRNA from 1 species
CCCAACCUGACUGCUGUGUUCUGCCCUGAGUCUGCAGAGGCUGACCCUGGCCAGGAAAGUGGUUGGAAAAGCAUUUUUGCAGAGAGGCAGCCUGAAGGUGGUGGCUCUAUGUAAGUGUGCACCCUUGGUUGGAAAGGCUGAAGGUCAGGAAUGGUAUUAGGAGAAAGUUCCCCCUUUCUCCUUUGUCCCUCCUUCCUGCCCCUGGACACAGGCUUGAGGAUCUGCAUCUGGCUGGCUCACCCUUCCUGCACAACUUUUCUAUUCAAGUUUUUCAGGGCAGGGCUUUAAGAAACACUUCAGGUUAAUUAUAGCCAGGGGUCAUUUUCUAUACAAGCGGGACAAACUUGAUGUGACUACAGGGCUGUCUCCAGGGCUGAUUCAUUCGACCUAGAAAACUGCCCCUAGGGAAACAGCCUCAGAAUCUUGCCUGCAGCUCUGGAAGUGGUAAUGGGCCCACCUGUCUCCCUGCCCAUCAUCUCACAUCUGGGGGAAUGUCUUGGCUAGCAGCAUGGCCCUGAGUGAGGGGUUUAGGUAAACAAGGUGUGACUGGGAUUGGAAGAGUCACAAACCUGUUUGUUAGAGCAAUGCUGAAGAGUUUCAGGAAAAGAAUUUCAUCAAGGCUGGCACAUCUGUCCUCAGACACUUGAAGGAUUCCCUGGAGGAAGGAGGACUGAACUUGCCCUACAAGAUCCUGCGGGGCAAAGAACUGUAAGCAGAGACAAAAUGAAAGCCCUCUAGGCCCACAAUUGAUUCUAACGGCUGUGAGGGAAUGAGCUUCAACUACUGUUGAUGGGAGGGACUGUGUGCCAGGCACUGUGCUAGGGACUCUCAUGCAUGAUCUCAUUCAUCUUCUGCAUAACCCAAUGAGGUAUGAUCUACUAUCAAGUGUCUACAUUUGUAUUGGAUUGGUAUGUGUGCCCAACAAAGAAAGUGUCAUUUUUCCUUGGGAAUGAAAUCACAUCAUUUGUGAAGACUUAGUAGAGGCUAAAUGAGUACAAGCAGCAUUUACCUUAUUAAACAGAUAUUUUCAACAUUUAAAACAGUCUGACCAUCAAUGAUGAUGUUCAAAAACAUCUCAAGAUGUUUUAGAGCUAAAGCAAAUGAGAAAAUAUAGUAAAGGGCUGAUUCCUGUGGAUAUUCUGCAAAGGAAAGUAACAUGGUGGAGUGGAAGUGGGAUAAGGUUUGAAGCCAAAAGACCUGGUGGGCUUAAGGUCUCCAUUUAUUGGUUGUGUGACCUUGGAUAAGCCACUUCACCUCCUGGUGAGACUUGGGCAAAAUGGAGAUCAUAUUAAUCACCUCACAGUUUGUUACGCAUUGAGUAAAUGCACAUGUAAGCAUUAUUGACUGUAAAUGAUUAUGCAUAUUUUAAUUAUGGUAUAUCCAAGCCUGAUUUUUCAUCCAGUGCUUACAGUGCCCUGGGCAUAAUACUCAUUCAAUAAACAUUUGUUUGAUGAUAGAGUAAUAAAUGAAUAUGUGAUGCAGAAGUUUUAAAAAUAUUUUUGCUGCUGUCUGACUCAUUUAUAGACAUUUAUAAAAUUGAGGAUUUGUAAGUUGUCCCUGGACAAUCAGAUCUCUUGAUUCAAAGGUGAAAGAUAAUCAUUCAGGUUUUCAAGUUUUUCCUGAUAUGAGACAUUAACUGGCAGGGCUGAUUAUGAGAAAUUGUCAUUAUCCUGCUCAAAUAUAAGAUCAUAGAUUUGGGAAACCUUAGAAAUAAUUACCUUCUUUUCAAAUAUGAGGAAACUGAAGCCCAGAGGCUCUAAGAAAUCAGGGACUUUAUAUAAUUUUUUCAUUUCUCUAGCUCUAGGGUAAUUGUAGAUAGAUAUACAACAAGUAUGUUUUUAAAAGUAUAUUUUUCAAGAAUUAUGCUAAGCACUGGGGAAAUAAACAUUAACAAGACAAAACCCUCCCCUUUGAGGAACUGAUAAUCUAGACAGACAUGAAAACCAGGAAGUGUGCUAUCAGUUAUAUUAAUGUUGUACAGAGUUCUAGUGGCAAGAGGGAACUGCCAAGGGAAAUCUGAGAGGAGGUGUUUACCCUGCGUAAACACCUUGCUGUUUAGCUUGGCAUCCCUAGAAGCAGACCCUGAGGACAGUGGGAAAAUGGAUUAUUAAGGAAGUGCUCCUGAGAGAAACCAGAAAGGGGGUGUAGGGAGCAAGGGAGGAUAAGGAGAAGACUCCAGUAAGGAUGAGAUUACUCAAGUCCCAUGGAAGACAGGUUAGCCUGAUCCUGCAGGGGAGCCCUGGAGGCACAUGCCUGAAAGGCAGUCUUGGAGCAGCUGCCUCAUGUUGGAGGAAAAACACUGAAGUGGGAUGAGAAGAUGUGAGUUCCGGUCCCAGAUCUGAUUUGUUUGGCACAUAAGUUUGGGGGGACCUCACAAGAUUCUUGCAACAGGGCAGUGAUUCUUUAGCAAUGUCUUUGUAUGCCUGGACUCAGAGCCACCCAGAGGAGCCACAGGAGGGUCCCUCACCCUCUGCGCCCACGAGACUCUGCUACCAGUGCCCUCUUCCACCCAAAGCACUAAGUCAAUGAAGACAGUCUCUGUUCUCAGGCACAUAUCUGCCCUCCAUGAGGCUGAAUAGAGCCCAUUCUCCCUCUUCCAUACCUUUCAUCUCAAAGGAUUCCUGAGCACACAAUCCACUUUAUAGCCUGGUCCUCUACCAUUAGAUAAUAAAGGGUCUUUCACUGAUCUGUGCUGUUGAAAUGCCACCACCUCCACUAUGCAGCUGCUCUGGGCUGUACAGAAAGCAUCUCUCAAUCCUAGGUCAUUUAGAAUGUCAUAGCCUGAGGAGAAUUCAGAAGGACAUCGAGGUCUACAAGUUAUAGAAAAAGUGUGGACUUUUGCAAAAUGCACACACAAACCAAAACCAACUUUCCAACCAAUCCUCAGAAAACCAGACUGAAUCCAUUAAAAUGAUGUUGGUUUGUUUCGCAACGAAGAACCAGCUUUGACCCUGUCCAUUUUUUGUCCUACUCAAAGUGGUCUCUUUACCAUAAACAAAUAGGCCUCUUAAAGUGACAGUUGUAUAAAUAAAACUUGAGAGUGGUAGGAUAAACUUUACGUGGUCCUGUUGCCAAAUAACUAUGGAUAUUAGUAUGUUUUGCCUAAUUCAGAUCAAUGAAGGCCUCGCUAUGUGCGAGCUGGCUAGCAGCUGGGAGGCAAACAUGAGUUGUAGUUUCUGACCUCAGUGUCUGGUGGCACUACUGGGUGUGGAGACGCUGUACAAACACAUUUGUAUGUUCACAUUUCCUAUGUAAAAGAAAAGGGCUUGGGGUAGUGUCAGACCCCUGACUCUUCUUCUUCAUAACAGACAGGGCUCUCUACAGAGCACCCUUCUAGAGCAGCUUUAGCAACCAAGGGACAGACACCUCAGUCUGUUUUAAGUUUUCUCCUUCCUAUUGAAAGGAAGUCCAGAACAAAUUCAGGGAGGUUUUCAAUAAUUACUCAUCAACAAUCUCAUAGUCACAAUACUAAAAAAGACUGCUGACAUUUUGGUUUAUUUUCUAGUACUAGCUACAUCUGCACAUAACUUUUAUUAAGUUUUCUUUAAAAGGAUGAUUCAAAUUUUUGGUCGGUGUGGUUUAAAUUUUAUUUUUUUUAACUGCUCAAAUACAUGACCCAUAACAGAGGAAAUUUGAAGAGUGACUGUUCCACUGAUCUACCUAGGUGGGUCUAAUAUAAUUCUUAGAAUUCCUCACCACUUCACCUUUUUCAAGUUCGCUGUUUUUUUGUGGGUUUUAGCCCUCUUUAAGUCAAUAUGACUGUUUUACAGAAUCCUUUAGGAUCAUAAUGGGGAAAAGAGGAGAAAAAUUGUGGUGGCUUAAAAUGUAUUCACAUUUGUAGUUUCAGAUAACUAUAUAAAAGUCAAUCAUCAAUAAUUUGUUAAACACCAAUUUGUGCCGGAGUCGCUCUGGAAACUUGCCAGAAACAUGGGGACUUAACAUCUCUGGAAAGCCAGAAAUCAGAGAUACAGAGAAGUAUUGAAAUGCUGAAAUGCUAUGAAUUUACUAUAAGAGAACAUUCUUCACUGAAGAGAUCUCUAGCUGCCAAAACACCCUUUCAUGCGUGAAAUACCGGGGCAAAGAGGAAGGAAAAGAGAAGAGUAUGACUCUAGGAACCAUGUUGCAGAAAUGCCAAAGGGUGGGACAAACAAAGUUACUAAUGUGGAGAAAGAAGAUUAUCAUGUGUGGAACGAAGGACAAUAUGAACAUUAAAUAAUGCCCUGACUCAUUCCAAAAAGAAUCUGAGAUGACCAAUAAAGCCAUUUUUAAUUGUUUAUUAGUGAACAAUAGAUUAUGAGUGCUAAAGGGAUUCAGGAAGAAGAAAGAUCAGUGCAGAGUAGAGAAGUCUGAUGGAUGCAUUGAAGAAGCUAUGCUUGAGCUGAAAUGACAAGAGAGCUGUUUUUCGCUUUCAGAAUUAUUAUGUGGCAAUGGUAAUUGACAACAGAGAAGCUGAAGGUAUGAGGACAAGGGUGUCUUAUCUUUCCCCAGAAGUCUUGCUUGGCCCAUGGGAGAAUACAGGCCUGCACCUUGGACUUGGAGUCAGUAGAUUCCUUCCUGUGAUUUUUUACAAGCUCAAACAUCCCCUGACUGAGUCAUUCACCAGAGAAAGAGGCUUUUCAAAUGAUUUGUGCAUUAGCUAUAGUCUGCCUUAUUCAACCCCAUUUUAGUGUCACAAAAGCUUCUUCUUCCUACAUUGUUAGAGCCUUUUUGACUUUUCUGAAACGACAUCUGCUCACCUCUUGGGUAACACCCUGCAGGGCUCAGUCGAGCUCAGUCACCCUUCACUUUUUUUUUUUUUUUUUUGAGCCAGUUUUGUAAGGUGCUGAGGGAGGUUUGUAUUAGUCCUUGUUGCCCCUAGAAGAAAUAACAGCUAUAAUUUUGGCCCCGAAGAAAAGGAACAGGUAUGACUAUUCUCUCUCUUUCUCUCAAACCACAAUCUACUCUAGGGAGGAAGUCACUUUAUGGGAGCAGAGUCACUCUCAAGUAAUAGCUGGCCAUACAGAUUGCUCUGGACCAAGGGUGAAUGUGAAGAAGAAAAGACCGGCCAGCAACACAAUGGAAUAUCUAGAGUCAUAUUGAGGGAAAUACUUAGAUUGCUGAUUUCUUAGUGGAUUUCACAAGCAGAGCUGCUUGUGAGCAGAAUGGUGAAGUAGGGGCAUGUGUUUCUGGGGUCUUAUUCCAUGGCUUCCUUCCACCUACAAGAGUCAUCCUCACGGAGUACUUGCAUUUCAGUAGAAGAAAAAAAUCUUAUAGAUGGAAGGGAAGGAUGGGGUUCCUGCUUUAGGAAGAUUGGCAUGGUCAUAAGUCUGAGCAAGGAAGGGCCCAGGGCAGCUCAGAGCUCUGAGCAGGAAGCUCUAAUUAGUUACUGAAUAUGGUGCAAGCACAAAGAGAGCGUAGUGUUUUCCCUUUCCAUCUGUGGAAGUCUUGGCCAUGCUUACUUGGGCGUUCCUUCCAGGAAACAUUUAUUUUUCCUCUUUAAUGCCCUCCUCAUAUCUAUGCUCUCAGUAGAGGAUGCCACUGCUUCUGGCACCUGGAUAAUAGAAUGAAGCUGAUUGGGAUGGAAACAGAAAAGUCAUCUCUCAGAACAAUGAGCAGAGACUGAAACUCCCUUGUACCCAGUCCCUGUGCACUGCUGUUCAUAGCCAAAUGGGCAAGGCCUUGCCAAAUGUCAUGUUGAGGUGAGGCCCUAAGUGAUAGAAAAAUAAAAAAUGACUAUGGCCACUUGCAUGUUCAGAGAAUUCAGUUUAGAAAAUGCUAUGCUGGGAGGAUCUCUCUUAAUAUCUUGUUUGCAUCAGAAUGUUCAAGUUGCAAUAUAUGUUUUUGUUUUGUGUAUUUAUUUAUUUUCCUCUACUCUAUUCUGUUAAGUCUUUUAGGGCAAAGGUAGGGUAGUCUAUACUCCCUGCGUUAUCCAUAAUGCCUAGCACUGUGUCUUGUACAUAAAAGGUCAUAAUAAAUACCUGUUGGCUAGAUAGAUGAAUGGAUAGAGUGCCUCAUUUAGAAGCAUUAUACUUCUAUGGAAAAAAAUUUUUAAAUGUAUUUUUUUCUAUGAGAUAACACAGUUCCUGAAUAGGUCAUGGGCAGGUGCUAUUCAAGUUUGCGAAGGAAAGGUUUUCCUAGAGUUAGGGUAAUUUUUUCCUCAAAUAAGAAAAACCUACAGUAAAUAAUUACUCUCCAUAUUAUCUUUAGGUUUCUUGCCAGUAUUAACAUCUUUUUUAUUGUAAGUGAUGAUAUUGUCUGUGAGAACAUUACAGUAGGUUAGUAUCCUGGGUUAAGCUAAGUGUUGUUGAAAAUAAUCCUGGACAUCCAAACAGGAAGAGAGGAAGUCAAACUAUUCCUGUUUGCAAAUAACAUGAUUCUAUAUCUAGAAAACCCUGUAAUGUCAGCCCCAAGGCUCUGUGAGAUCAGAGAUAAAUAACCUCAGCAAAGUCAACAUACAAACAUCAGUAGCAUUCCUUAUACAAACAACAUCCAAGCUGAUGGCCAAAUCAGGAUGCAAUCCCAUUCACAAUUGCCCCCCCAAAAAUAUAAAAUACUUAGGAAUACAGCUAACCAGGGAUGUGAAAGAUCUCUAUAAUAAGAAUUACAAAACACUGCUCAAAAAAUCAUAGAUGACACCAAAAAUUGGAAAAAUAAUCCAUGCUCAUGGAUUGGAUGAAUCAAUAUCAUUAAAAUGGCCAUACUGCCCAAAGCAAUUUACAGAUUUCACAGAUUCAGUGCUAUUCCUAUCAAAAUAUCAAUGACAUUUUUCGUGGAAUUAGAAAAAACUAUUUUAAAAUUGACAUGGAACCCAAAAGGGACCCCGAAUAGUCGAGGCAAUCCUAAACAAAAAGAACAAAGCUGGAGGUAUUAUAUUACCCAAUGUCAACAUAUACUACAGGGCUAUAGUAACCAAAAGAGCAUGGUACUGGUACAAAAACAGACACAUAGACCAAUAGAACGUAAUAAAGAGCCCAGAAAUAAUGUCACACCACUUACAACCAUCUGAUCUUCAAUAAAGCUGACAAAAACAAACAAUAGGGAAAAGAUUCCUCAUUCAAUAAAUGGUGCUGGGAUAACUGGCUAGUCAUAUGCAGAAGAUUGAAACUGGACACCCCACCUUACACUACAUACAAAAAUCAGUGUAAGAUGAAUUAAAGGCUUAAAUGUAAAACCUAAAACUAUAAAAACCCUGAAAGAUAACCUAGGAAAUACCAUUCUGGACAUAGAACUUGGCAAAGAUUUCAUGAUGAAGACAACAAAAGCAAUUGCAACAAAAACAAAAAUUGACAAAUGGGAUCUAAUUAAACUGAAGAGCUUCUGAACAAAAAAAGAAACUAUCAACAGAGUAAACAGACAACCUACAGAAUGGGAGAAGAUAUCUGCAAACUAUGCAUCCAACAAAGGUCUAAUAUCCAGAUGCUGUAAGGAACUUAAAUUUAUAAGCAUAAACAAACAACCCCAUUAAAAAGUGGGCAAAGGACAUGAAGAGAUACUUUUCAAAAGAAGACAUAUAUGUGGCCAACAAGCAUAUAAAAAAUGCUCAACAUCACUAAUCAUUAGAGAAAUGCAAAUUAAAACCACAGUGAAAUACCAUCCCACACCAGUCAGAAUGGCUAUUAUUAAAAGUUGAAAAAUAAUAGGUGCUAGCAAUGUUGUGGAGAAAAGGGAACACUUAUACACCACUGAUGGGAAUGUAAAUUAGUUCAGCCACUGUAGAAAGCAGUUGGGUGAUUCCUCAAAGAACUUAAAAAAACAGAGUUACCAUCCAACCUAGCAACCCCAUUAUUGGGUAUAAUCCAAAGGAAUAUAAAUUGUUCUAUCAUAAAGACACAUGCACAUGUAUAUUCAUUGCAGCACUAUUCGCAAUAAGAAAGAUAUGGCAUCACCCUAAAUGCCCAUCAGUGGUAGACUGGAUAAAGAAAAUGUGGUGCAUAUACACCAUGGAAUACUAUGCAGCCAUAAAAAACAAUGAGAUCAUGUCCUGUGAAGCAACAUGGAUGGAUCUGGAAGCCAUUAUCCUAAGCAAACUAACACAAGAACAGAAAACCAAAUAUGGCAUGUUCUUACAAGUGGAAGCUAAACAAUAGGAACACAUGGAUAUUAGAAGGGUAACAGAAGAUAUUGGGGCCUACUUGAGGGUGGAAAGUGGGAGGAAGGAGAGGAUCGGAAAAAUACCUAUUGGGUACUAUGUUUAUUACCUGGAUGAUAAAAUUAUCUGUCACCAAACCCCUGUGACAUGCAGUUUACCUAUAUAACAAACCUGCACAUGUACCCCUGAGCCUAAAAUAAAAGUUUAAAAAAAAAAAAGAAAAUACACCUGGACCCUAUUUUGAAAGACAUACUGUAGACUUGAGGGAGGAAGAGCAGAGGGAUGGAAAGGGCCCCGAAUUACCCACAAGCCAUGUGAAUGCUUAAGCAGUCAUGGACCACAAUUCUCACCACACACACACACACACACACACACACACACACACACACACACACACAGGUCUGAACCCUUACCCCUGUCUACUACUUAUUGGAGCUUGGUAGAAAAAAAGUUGUGAGUGACAGAAAAGUGAGAAAAAGAGAAGAAGAAGAAAAAUUGGAAAGUGUGGAAGAAAAAGUGGCAAAUGCAAGCAGCCCUUAAUGGAACUGUGCUGAAUUGAGAGACAGCAGAAGGUAACAGCUGGCUGGGACUUGGCCAUGAAAGGUGGAAUGUGAGGAGACAAAUGAAAUGGAAAUGCAGGAAAGAAUGGAGUGGCAAAGGAGGCUGGAGAUGGGGCAGAGGAUAGCAAGGGGAGAGAAGGAAGCACAGAAAGGGUGUGGGGGACAGGCCAGAGAGUAGAAGGCUAGAUGGAACUGACUGAUGCCACCAGUCAGAGAUGGAGACCAUUAACAAUGUGUAGGGAAACCCCUGCCUUCCCAAUAAUGAAAAUGCAGGUUUAAUCAGUACCAAGGAACACUGUGAAGUAAGGGCAUUGACUUGGGAAGUGAAAGCCGAAGAUAGAGCAAACCCCAUACGGCAUAUCCUAACUCGCCAUUUUAACAGCAGAAAGACUCGAAAAUACAAAGCAAAGGAUUAUCCAAAGGGCUUUUUAAAAUAAUGCUUAAAAUUUUAAUCUUGUAAAUAUAUUUCCCUUCCCAGUAUGAAAAUAAUUCCGAGUAUAAUCUUUAUUUACUUUCCCCUUUUUAUUUUAGAAGAGUAAACAUAGCUUUAAGAAUUAAAAAAAUCAGUUAAUAAUCUGACUUUUAAGUCAGCUGUAAAAAUGUAAGUUUCUAGCUCUGCCACUUUUUAGUAGUGUGACUUUGGGCAAAUUGCUCAAAAACUCCAAAUUCUUGUUUCUUUACCUACAAAAAAGGGACAAUAAUACAUACCUCCUAUGAUAGUAGAAAAUUACGUGAAAAUAUACUCCAAGUAUCUCAGAGGGCUUGAUUUCCAGAAAGCGCCCAAGCUCAAUCAAUAGUGACGUUUACUAUCCACGCAGCCAGUUCUACUACUGGGAGUUGGUUGGUGCUGAUAAAGCUUUUUGUCAGACUUCUCACAAUUUCCAUUGUGAGAAGAUGUAGCUUCCAAUUAACUCUGUCACUGAUUGUUGGGUAACUUUGGGCCAAAUGCUGUUCCUUAAUGAAUGUGGGUGUGAAACUUAUUAAGAUUAAUGACUGUCACAGCUGUUAGCCAGAUGUUUACAUAAUUCCCUCUGUUUUACAGCAAUCAUAUCAGAGGAAAGGGGUUGAAUGAUAGAAUUAGAAAAAUAAGUACAAUAUUGUGGGAAUGAAUAAAUGUUGUUUUGGAGGGUAGGAGAUUAAAAUCCUAAAUGUAUUUUGAUUAGGCUAAUAUUAAAAAUUAGCAUCUGUAAAUCAGUAAUCUAAUUGAAGGAAUUUUUUAACACAAGUGACUGGUGGAGGGGACACAGCAUGGGAGGGCAUGCUUACAGCAAGAGCUCCAUUGAUUAAAUAGUCCCCUGCAGAACACAGAGAGUUAAAUACGUCUUUAAUAGCCUCCAGCAUGAAAGGGCAAAUCAUUUGUUUUAAUUGAGGAAGGAUAAAAUAUUUUUGCUUUACACAUAUAUGUUCUAUUUUAGCAUCAUAGUUAUUUUUAUAGCUGUUAUAACUUCACAAAACCUAAUAGGAAAAUAAAUCUGAAUCCAGAAGAGUUCAAUACUUUCCAGAGGAGUCUAGUAAAUAAAAACUCUACACUGACUGACUGAUCUUAUUCAUGCACUGCUCCUAAACCCAAACUCUCAAGUGAAGGGAAAAGAGGUUAAUUCGUUGGAAUAAAUUCAUGGGAUUUUUUUUUAAAGACACAUCCUGAAUCAAAGUGAUUAAAACAACAAAUGGAUAAAGGGUAGAGCUGUGAGAGGACAAGGUUUGCAUUACUGAGCAUCUUGAUUAUGUGGGGAAGAUGGGAAACAGAUCUUGCCCAUUCUGGUCUCAAACUACUAAAUCCUGAGAAUGCCAAGAGGCGAGUCACUGAAGUCAGAAGUUGGAAACAUGGCUAAGCUGUCCAGAGUGUGGAACACAUGGUCUCUGAAGGUUUUUAUUAGUGUGUGGGUGAGAGUUCAGAAGCUCUACUAAUUACUUUUGUUUUCAGAAUUUAUAAAGUUAAGACAGAAAGCGGAAUAUUAACACUUCACUUCCUCGUGCAGUCAUUAAUUUACUCACUUAGCAUACAUUUAUUCAUAGAAGCUUAUUGGUACCAAGUAUACCCUCAAUGAGCAACCAACCCAAAAUUGCAAAAGGGAGAUCAAACAGGGAAGCUGUGGUAGGAAGUAUCAUGGCCUCUUCAAAGAUGUCUAUAUACUAAUCACAGAAUUUAUGUAUAUGUGAUGCUGUAUGUCAAGGGAAGAUUAAGGUGUGCAGAUGGAAUUAAGGUUGCUAAUCAGCUGACCUUAAAAUAGGAGUACUAUCUUGGAAUAUCUGGGUGGGCUCAAUGUAAUCACAAAUGUUCUUAACAGAUAGAAGAAGAAGGCAGAGGAGUCAGUGUUGGAGUGAUGCCAUGUGAGAAAGACUCAACUGGCCAUUGCUGGCUUUGAAAAUGGAAGGAGGCAUAAGCCAAGGAAUGAAUGCAGGUGCCUCUAGAACCUGGAAAAAGCAAGGAAACAAAUUCUCCUCUAGAACCUCCAGAAGGAAUGCAUUCCUGCCAACACCUUGAUUUUUAGCUCGGUGAGACCCAUGCUGGACUUCUGACCUGCAGGAUUGCAAGAUAAGAUAUUUGACUUAUUUUAAGAUGCUAAGUUUGCAGUAAUUUGAUAUGGUAGCCAUCGGAAACUAAUACCGAUGCCAAAGCAGUAAAGCAGGAAAGCACUCCAAAAUCACAGGAGUGAGAGGAGCAGAAAUGUCCUAGGAGAAGACAAUGUUUCCUUUUGAAAAGGAAAGUUUACUGGCAACUUCCAUUUGAAUUUCUUAAUUUCUUUCCUCAGUGGCAGUCACUACUUCCAAGGUGGCAGGUUCCAGAGCUGAUUCAUUAUAUAAUCUUUUCUCAGGAGUAUUCUAGCCACCUUUAAAGAAGCUAGGGCCAUUUUCCUGACACUGCAUCAAGGGGUAAGGUUAGUGGUAAAGAAACCAUGCGGUAGGAAAGGCCAACUUUCUCCCUACAUAAUCCAAUCGCAUUAUCUCCAGACUUGCUCACCCUCUGCUCUUUGCAUACUGCAGCUCCAGAGCUUUCAUACCUACAGACUUCCUGGAGUUAAGACUAAAACAAGAGUUGUGCUACAGACUACCGUUCCUAUUAUCAUUUUUUGUGUCCUGCUGAGUCCUCCCCUCUUGGCAACUUCAGGACCACCCACUGGGAAGAUAAUAUACAACCCAUCAGGAAACUCCCAGUGCCCAUCGUGGAGGCCAAGUGCUGCCAACUCUGAUUGCUUCUGGAAUGCCAUUUCUUCCCUGCCCUUUCAAUAUUCUUGUUAUGCGACUCCUAUGAUCACUGCCAAUCUGUAGAAAAUUACAGGAUGAAUUUUUGUGAAGGACUGAAUUUGCAUACUGGUCUUUUGUUGUUUAUUGUUGGGGGGAUUUUGCUUUUUGCACACAAUUUCUGCACAUUUUAUUGGAAGUUAUUGGGUUAGAUUCAUCCCAUUCAUUCACUAGCCUGGCAUUGCUAUGCAUGUGCUGUAGGGGCUUAGCAUUAAACGAUUUUCUUUGUUCAGAUUUGGAUUGCUGUCUCUGCUUGCAAAUUAUUUUUCACAAUGACUCCUUCUUUUCCUUCUCUCUCUCUCUCUUUCUCUCUCUCUCUCUCUCACACACACACACAGACACACACACACACACACACACACACACACACACACACACACAGAUGAGGUUAGAUAUUUUUCCAUUGCCAAGUUCAGGACCCAUGAAUAC